CUAGGGUCAUGUCCUCGGUGAGCUGUAACUGUACCAUGUCCCGCCUAAUCACCUCACCCCAGUACUUCUUCGGCCUACCCCUACCCCGCCUAAAACCAUCCAACGCUAGCCUCUCGCACCUACGGACCGGGGCAUCCAUGCCCCUCCUCUUCACGUGUCCGAACCAUCUCAAUCGUGCUUCCCGCAUCUUGCACUCCACUGAAGUCACACCAACCUUCUCCCGGAUAGUCUCAUUCUGAACUCUAUCCCCUCUAGUCAGUCCACACAUCCAGCGCAACAUUCGCAUUUCUACCACCUUCAUUUUCUGGAUAUGGGAGUUCUUAA
rnacentral:lncRNA from 1 species